AAUGUAUGAUGAGGAUAUUUUCUAAAUAAUUCUUUAAAUCAUUCCCAAGCCUCAUAAAUAGAUUCACCAUCUAACUAGCUAAAUGAGGUGAUAUCAUUCUAACUUU